AUUCCGCGAUGAGGGCAUCUACGUAGCAACUCCUUAAUCUUUCCUAUGCCUCAUAUCAGGACUCGUCAUCCAAUUAUUAAAAAGUGAGGAUCUCAUUCCACAACU
rfam:Gossypium hirsutum cultivar TM-1 chromosome 8, whole genome shotgun sequence